rnacentral:rRNA from 1 species
CAAAGAGGGGGACCUUCGGGCCUCUUGCCAUCGGAUGUGCCCAGAUGGGAUUAGCUAGUAGGUGGGGUAACGGCUCACCUAGGCGACGAUCCCUAGCUGGUCUGAGAGGAUGACCAGCCACACUGGAACUGAGACACGGUCCAGACUCCUACGGGAGGCAGCAGUGGGGAAUAUUGCACAAUGGGCGCAAGCCUGAUGCAGCCAUGCCGCGUGUAUGAAGAAGGCCUUCGGGUUGUAAAGUACUUUCAGCGGGGAGGAAGGGAGUAAAGUUAAUACCUUUGCUCAUUGACGUUACCCGCAGAAGAAGCACCGGCUAACUCCGUGCCAGCAGCCGCGGUAAUACGGAGGGUGCAAGCGUUAAUCGGAAUUACUGGGCGUAAAGCGCACGCAGGCGGUUUGUUAAGUCAGAUGUGAAAUCCCCGGGCUCAACCUGGGAACUGCAUCUGAUACUGGCAAGCUUGAGUCUCGUAGAGGGGGGUAGAAUUCCAGGUGUAGCGGUGAAAUGCGUAGAGAUCUGGAGGAAUACCGGUGGCGAAGGCGGCCCCCUGG